GCCAAUACAAACCAGCAUAGGUAAAAAAUUCAAACCAGCACAAAGUCGAUUCAGAAUGUAGCAGAAUGGUCUGAUGUCAUCUAGUCAGCUGAGGCUGAUUAUGCUCAUUUACCUGCCUAUAAAGUCGUUUCGGUUUGUGUUAUGGGUGCGUUUGCUCUUUGUCCGCGAGCGAGCCGCCGUACUUCCGGGUUUACGUGCGGAUAGUGGCAAGGGUGGACUGAGGAGCUUUGUGGGGAAGCCGCUAAGCGUUUAGGAAGACGUGUUUAAUAAACGUCUGCAUCCGUGCCUCGUGAGUCGCCGUACAGGCAUACAAGAUGCAUGGGGAGGCAACAAGUCACAUGUGCUCCUGUCAAAAAUAGGACCAUAUAAACUUUUUUUGGGACAUUGCCAGAACUGCUCCCAAUCAAGAGCUCGAGAGUGAGGUGAUCAAUGCAUACAUGGCCCACACUGUAAAAACCCACAAUCAGAUACGAGAAAAAAAAGCACUUCACAUCGAUUCAUUCGAAAUGACACGUAUAUGGGAGGGAAGGGGCUCAAGAUUAAAGUGUGAUCCAACAAAAUACAAUAUUAUUUUGGGAGCUGGACAUUGGCUGCAAUCUUUCCAUCUGAAAGAAGAAGCCUUAUAUUGGAUCCCCUGGGAAAUGAUUCGAAAAAACUUCAACAGUGUUUGCAGUCCACAAGGGCCUUCAUCAGAAAACAAGGCUGCCAUGUAUCCAGGUGGGCAUCCAGCACAGAUGCACACUGUUGUCAGAAAGAUGGCACCUCAUGUGGGAUAUUUGUCCUGAAAUAUGCAGAGAAACUACUGUCAGAGGAGCUUCUGACAUUUGCUAACAACACUGAAGCAGUAAAUCUGUAUCGAAGACAGAUUGCAAUGACCCUGCUAAAUGAGACUGAUGACCUAACUGAGCUGUGCCACAACUGUGGGGAGAAGAGCAAUGGGCAAAAGAAGACAGUGAGGAAAAAAUGAACAACCCCUAUCAUCUACUUGGAUUCAGUGUGACGUGUGUGACCGGUGGUUUCAUAUGCAGUGUGUUCAGGAGCCCGAUCCCUUCAAGUCCUACAGCUGUGCGGCGUGCACAUUUUAAAAUUCUCCUUCCUUUCCCUGUUAUUAUUUGCUAUUAAUAUUUUGGUAUUCAAGUUACCAUUAAAACAAAUAAGUUGUAAAAA